rnacentral:rRNA from 1 species
CUGCGCGCUUACCAUGCAGUCGAGCGGAGAUGAGGUGCUUGCACCUUAUCUUAGCGGCGGACGGGUGAGUAAUGCUUAGGAAUCUGCCAUUUAGUGGGGGACAACAUUCCGAAAGGAAUGCUAAUACCGCAUACGUCCUACGGGAGAAAGCAGGGGAUCUUCGGACCUUGCGCUAAAUGAUGAGCCUAAGUCGGAUUAGCUAGUUGGUGGGGUAAAGGCCUACCAAGGCGACGAUCUGUAGCGGGUCUGAGAGGAUGAUCCGCCACACUGGGACUGAGACACGGCCCAGACUCCUACGGGAGGCAGCAGUGGGGAAUAUUGGACAAUGGGCGGAAGCCUGAUCCAGCCAUGCCGCGUGUGUGAAGAAGGCCUUUUGGUUGUAAAGCACUUUAAGCGAGGAGGAGGCUACUAGUACUAAUACUACUGGAUAGUGGACGUUACUCGCAGAAUAAGCACCGGCUAACUCUGUGCCAGCAGCCGCGGUAAUACAGAGGGUGCGAGCGUUAAUCGGAUUUACUGGGCGUAAAGCGUGCGUAGGCGGCUUUUUAAGUCGGAUGUGAAAUCCCCGAGCUUAACUUGGGAAUUGCAUUCGAUACUGGGAAGCUAGAGUAUGGGAGAGGAUGGUAGAAUUCCAGGUGUAGCGGUGAAAUGCGUAGAGAUCUGGAGGAAUACCGAUGGCGAAGGCAGCCAUCUGGCCUAAUACUGACGCUGAGGUACGAAAGCAUGGGGAGCAAACAGGAUUAGAUACCCUGGUAGUCCAUGCCGUAAACGAUGUCUACUAGCCGUUGGGGCCUUUGAGGCUUUAGUGGCGCAGCUAACGCGAUAAGUAGACCGCCUGGGGAGUACGGUCGCAAGACUAAAACUCAAAUGAAUUGACGGGGGCCCGCACAAGCGGUGGAGCAUGUGGUUAAUUCGAUGCAACGCGAAGACCUUACCUGGCCUUGACUAC